rnacentral:rRNA from 1 species
AUUGAACGCUGGCGGCAGGCCUAACACAUGCAAGUCGAGCGGAUGACGGGAGCUUGCUCCUUGAUUCAGCGGCGGACGGGUGAGUAAUGCCUAGGAAUCUGCCUGGUAGUGGGGGACAACGUUUCGAAAGGAACGCUAAUACCGCAUACGUCCUACGGGAGAACGCAGGGGACCUUCGGGCCUUGCGCUAUCAGAUGAGCCUAGGUCGGAUUAGCUAGUAGGUGAGGUAAUGGCUCACCUAAGCGACGAUCCGUAACUGGUCUGAGAGGAUGAUCAGUAACACUGGAACUGGGACACGGUCCAGACUCCUACGGGAGGCAGCAGUGGGGAAUAUUGGACAAUGGGCGAAAGCCUGAUCCAGCCAUGCCGCGUGUGUGAAGAAGGUCUUCGGAUUGUAAAGCACUUUAAGUUGGGAGGAAGGGCAGUAAGUUAAUACCUUGCUGUUUUGACGUUACCGACAGAAUAAGCACCGGCUAACUCUGUGCCAGCAGCCGCCGUAACAC